UCUUGUCCAUAUUUGCAUAUUGAGGGCGUGGUUUGUCCAUAAAUGGACAUUGGGGGCGUGGCCAUGCCCUGUUUAGGUAAAGGUAAAGGUGAGGGGGGGCAGAACCCAGCCAGGUAAAGGCAGAACCCAGCCAGGUACAGGCACAGGUGAGACAGGUGAGACAGAACCCAGCCAGGUAAAGGCACAGGUGAGACAGGAGGGACAGAACCCAGCCAGGUAAAGGCACAGGUGAGACAGGAGGGACAGAACCCAGCCAGGUAAAGGCACAGGUGAGACAGAACCCAGCCAGGUAAAGGCACAGGUGAGACAGAACCCAGCCAGGUAAAGGCACAGGUGAGACAGAA